rnacentral:rRNA from 1 species
UACGUAGGGUGCGAGCGUUAAUCGGAAUUACUGGGCGUAAAGCGUGCGCAGGCGGUUCGUUGUGUCCGAUGUGAAAGCCCCGGGCUUAACCUGGGAAUGGCCAUGGAAACUGGCGAACUGGAGUGUGGCAGAGGGGGGUGGAAUUCCGCGUGUAGCAGUGAAAUGCGUAGAGAUGCGGAGGAACACCGAUGGCGAAGGCAGCCCCCUGGGCUAGCACUGACGCUCAGGCACGAAAGCGUGGGGAGCAAACAGG